CCUACGGGUGGCAGCAGUGGGGAAUAUUGGACAAUGGGCGAAAGCCUGAUCCAGCCAUGCCGCGUGUGUGAAGAAGGCCUUCGGGUUGUAAAGCACUUUCAGUGGGGAAGAAAGCCUUGGGGCUAAUACCCUCGAGGAAGGACAUCACCCACAGAAGAAGCACCGGCUAACUCCGUGCCAGCAGCCGCGGUAAUACGGAGGGUGCGAGCGUUAAUCGGAAUUACUGGGCGUAAAGCGCGCGUAGGCGGUCUGAUAAGCCGGUUGUGAAAGCCCCGGGCUCAACCUGGGAACGGCAUCCGGAACUGUCAGGGGAGAGUGGAGGAGAGGAAGGUAGAAUUCCCGGUGUAGCGGUGAAAUGCGUAGAGAUCGGGAGGAAUAGCAGUGGCGAAGGCGGCCUUCUGGACUGACACUGACGCUGAGGUGCGAAAGCGUGGGUAGCCAACAGGAUUAGAUACCCUUGUAGU
rnacentral:rRNA from 1 species